UGGGGAAUAUUGGCACAAUGGGCGAAAGCCUGAAUGCAGCGACGCCGCGUGAGGGCAUGACGGCCUUCGGGCUUGUAAAACCUCUUUCAGCAGGGAAGAAGCGAAAGUGACGGUACCUGCAGAAGAAGCGCCGGCUAACUACGUGCCAGCAGCCGCGGUAAUACGUAGGGCGCAAGCGUUGUCCGGAAUUAUUGGGCGUAAAGAGCUCGUAGGCGGUUAGUCGCGUCUGCUGUGAAAACUCGAGGCUCAACCUCGGGCUUGCAGUGGGUACGGGCUGACUAGAGUGCGGUAGGGGUGACUGGAAUUCCUGGUGUAGCGGUGGAAUGCGCAGAUAUCAGGAGGAACACCGAUGGCGAAGGCAGGUCACUGGGCCGCAACUGACGCUGAGGAGCGAAAGCAUGGGGAGCGAACAGGAUUAGAUACCCUGGUAGUCCAUGCCGUAAACGUUGGGCACUAGGUGUGGGGUCCAUUCCACGGAUUCCGUGCCGCAGCAAACGCAUUAAGUGCCCCGCCUGGGGAGUACGGCCGCAAGGCUAAAACUCAAAUGAAUUGACGGGGUCAUAGCUGUUUCCU
rnacentral:rRNA from 1 species